AAACGACUCUCGGCAACGGAUAUCUCGGCUCUCGCAUCGAUGAAGAACGUAGCGAAAUGCGAUACUUGGUGUGAAUUGCAGAAUCCCGUGAACCAUCGAGUCUUUGAACGCAAGUUGCGCCCGAAGCCAUUAGGCCGAGGGCACGCCUGCCUGGGCGUCACACGCCGUCGCCCCCCCCAACCGAUCCCUCGGGAUUGCGGGGGGCGGACGAUGGCCUCCCGCGCGCUCCGUCGCCCGGUUGGCACAAAUACCAAGUCCUCGGCGGCGCACGCCACGACAAUCGGUGGUUGCGAGACCUCGGUUGCCCGUCGUGCGCGGUCGCCGCGCAUCGAGGGCUCGAAAAAACGCUCGGCUCCGGCUCGGCUUUCAACGCGACCCCAGGUCAGGCGGGGUUACCCGCUGAAUUUAAGCAUAUCAAUAAGCGGAGGAAAAGAAACUUACGAGGAUUCCCCUAGUAACGGCGAGCGAACCGGGAACAGCCC
rnacentral:rRNA from 1 species